rnacentral:rRNA from 1 species
UACGGGGGGGGCAAGCGUUGUUCGGAAUUACUGGGCGGAAAGGGCGCGUAGGCGGUGCUCUAAGUUAGAUGUGAAAACUCUGGGCUCAACCCAGAGCCUGCAUCUAAAACUGGAGUGCUAGAGUUCUGGAGGGGGUAGCGGAAUUCCUGGUGUAGCGGUGAAAUGCGUAGAUAUCAGGAGGAACACCGGUGGCGAAGGCGGCUACCUGGACAGAAACUGACGCUGAGGCGCGAAAGCUAGGGGAGCAAACAGG